UACAAAGGGAAAAAAAUAGCAACCGCGACCUGGAGGAAGGGAGAGACGGGAGGAGAUUAAAAUUAUCGACCUUGACUGAGUAUGGAAAGGAGCAGGACAUGGGAAUCGAAGCAUUGGAAGCCAUGCUUAUGGAUGAUGAAUUUAGAGGUGCUCUUCCCUUUUUUUCUUUUUGAUUUUUUCAAAGUAAACAAACCAGUGAUAUGCAAUGGCAGAAAUUCAUUCUAGCGAGAAUGGCCUUAAUACUUCUAACCAUCGCUUCAACAUAUCAAUAUCUCCGCAGGUUAGGUUGGCUGGCUGUUCGAUCAUCAUGGUGCUGUGUUUUUUUCUCUUCCCCGGAGUUUGGUCCUGUUCUUAUGCUCUGCUCCUUUAGUUGUGCUGUUUUGGAUUCUUAGCUCGAUCAGUUUUAUUUUCAGUGGGGAAAAAGGUGAACAGGAAACUGUGAAUUCUAUCUAGAUCUGUGUAUGCUUUGCUGUGUAUGCUCAAUCUCCGUAAAUUAUUAUUUUAUCUGCUAAAGUUUGCCAUGGAAUUCGAUUCCAACAUGGCAUCAUAAUUGAUAGCAGCCAGCAAAACUUCGGCCUCUUAACACGUUUAUUUUCUAACAAGAUCGGUGAGGAGUGAUCAGAGUGAAUUUUGGGCUUUUGAGUGAGAAUUCUAUGUUUUUUUUUUUUUUUUGUGGUUG